rnacentral:rRNA from 1 species
GACGAACGCUGGCGGCGUGCUUAACACAUGCAAGUCGAACGGAAGGGCCCUGCUUUUGUGGGGUGCUCGAGUGGCGAACGGGUGAGUAACACGCGUGUAAACUGCCCUUGACUUUGGGAUAACUUCAGGAAACUGGGGCUCAUACCGGAUAGGAGCUCCUGCUGCGUGGGGGGGGUUGGAAAGUUUCGGCGGUUGGGGCUGGACUCGCGGCUUAUCAGCUUGUUUGGGGGGUAGUGGAUUACCAAGGCUUUGACGGGUAGCCGGCCUGAGAGGGUGACCGGCGACAUUGGGCCUGCGAGAGGGACCAGACUCCUACGGGAGGCAGUAGGGGGGAAUAUGGCACAAUGGGCGGAAGCCUGAGGCAGCAACGCCGCGUGCGGGAUGACGGCCUUCGGGUUGUAAACCGCUUUCGCCUGUGACGAAGCGUGAGUGACGGUAAUUGGUAAAGAAGCAACGGCUAACUACGUG